rnacentral:rRNA from 1 species
GACGAACGCUGGCGGCGUGCCUAAUACAUGCAAGUUGAGCGAUGAAGAUUGGUGCUUGCACCAAUUUGAAGAGCAGCGAACGGGUGAGUAACGCGUGGGGAAUCUGCCUUUGAGCGGGGGACAACAUUUGGAAACGAAUGCUAAUACCGCAUAACAACUUUAAACAUAAGUUUUAAGUUUGAAAGAUGCAAUUGCAUCACUCAAAGAUGAUCCCGCGUUGUAUUAGCUAGUUGGUGAGGUAAAGGCUCACCAAGGCGAUGAUACAUAGCCGACCUGAGGGGGUGAUCGGCCACAUUGGGACUGAGACACGGCCCAAACUCCUACGGGAGGCAGCAGUAGGGAAUCUUCGGCAAUGGACGAAAGUCUGACCGAGCAACGCCGCGUGAGUGAAGAAGGUUUUCGGAUCGUAAAAAUCUGUUGGUAGAGAAGAACGUUGGUGAGAGUGGAAAGCUCAUCAAGUGACGGUAACUACCCAGAAAGGGACGGCUAACUACGUG